CUGGCUCAGGAUGAACGCUAGCUACAGGCUUAACACAUGCAAGUCGAGGGGCAGCGAGAGGAAAGCUUGCUUCCUGUCGGCGACCGGCGCACGGGUGAGUAACGCGUAUCCAACCUUCCCCAUAGUAGAGGAUAGCCCGGCGAAAGUCGGAUUAAUACUCUAUGUUGUGUCAUGAGGACAUCUGAAUAACACCAAAGAUUUAUCGCUAUGGGAUGGGGAUGCGUCUGAUUAGGUAGUCGGCGGGGUAACGGCCCACCGAGCCGACGAUCAGUAGGGGUUCUGAGAGGAAGGUCCCCCACAUUGGUACUGAGACACGGACCAAACUCCUACGGGAGGCAGCAGUGAGGAAUAUUGGUCAAUGGGCGCGAGCCUGAACCAGCCAAGUAGCGUGCAGGAAUGACUGCCCUAUGGGUUGUAAACUGCUUUUAUGCGGGAAUAAAGUCAGGUACGUGUACCUGUUUGUAUGUACCGCAUGAAUAAGGACCGGCUAAUUCCGUGCCAGCAGCCGC
rnacentral:rRNA from 1 species